rnacentral:lncRNA from 1 species
CUUCCCCCAACUGCUUGUGAGUGCAGUCUGCUUCGCAGCUGCUUUCUGUGUUUCCUCUUCUGCCCUGUUGUUUCCUCUUUCCCUCCUUACAACACAAACUGGUGUGUACCUCACUGGCUUGGGUGGAGCUGUCUGACUCAGGCUUCAGAGAUUGACCGGAAAGGCAGCAAGGAGUUUGGAAUAGUCUAUAUGCUUGGCUAAGGCCUUAUUUCUUCAGUUGAAAUAAACCAGUUGGGUGCUGAGGUUGAAGCUGGACAGUCCCAGAAGACCAGCAAAAUCAAGGUCAGACACCAGGAUUUGUGCCCCUGAAGCCCAGGAUUCCCCCAUCUGGUUGUUGUGAGGUUGGAAUGUGUAUGAGGGCUGUGUAGUGGGUGGUGUUCCUGCUCUCCUUUUAGUCUCUGCCAUGAUCAUCCCUGGGUCCUUUGUGCUCAGGAGACGUGAGUCAAGGUGAAGCCUCCAGAGGACCUAACAGGGAAGGCCUCAUCUCAUAGCUCUGCCUUCAUCACCACACUCCCGUCUGUGCUGUUCACACAGCCUUGCUUCAGAAGAAAAUGGAACUUACACCUGCUGGCCACCCUGCCAAGCCCCACGAAUUUGGAUUCUUGCUCAGCUACCCAGAUUGUCAAAAUGAAAUGAAGCCGUGCCUUUUCAUUCUGUCUGAGCACACAGGAUUCCUCUACUCAGCUUUCUCCUCAAGCAAGCCAUCUAGCCUAUAUUUUCCUCUUUCCUAAAAAAAAAAAAAAAAUGUUCAUCUUAUCCACUAAUUUCAUCUAGAAGCUUUGGGUUUCCACAGCUAUGACUAGUGGCUCCUUCUUUGGAAAGGAUCUUGAGGAUUCCCUGGCUCUGGGACUGGCUGGUUGGCCCUUGGUCACCUUCAUCUCUCUGAGCAGGUGCCCAAGUCUCACCUAUAGAAAGGGGGACAAGAAGCAUAGGAUUUCCCUGACCUAAGAAAGCUUUGUACCAUUGGUCCACAGACGCCCUCCCAGACCUGGCAUGCCC